GUAGUCGUGGCCAGUGGUUAAGGCGAUGGACUUGAAAUCCAUUGGGGUCUCCCAGCGCAGGUUCGAAUCCUGCCGACUACG